CCCUUAGAUGUCCGGGGCUGCACGCGCGCUACACUGAAUGAAUCAGCGUGCUAGAAAACCUUGUUUGACAUGGCUAGGUAACCCAUUGAAAAUCAUUCGUGAUUGGGAUCGGGACUUGCAAAUGUGUCCCUUGAACGAGGAAUUCCCAGUAAGUGCGGGUCAUCAGCUCGCGUUGAUUACGUCCCUGCCCUUUGUACACACCGCCCGUCGCUGCCCGGAACUGAGCCGUUUCGAGAGGACUGAGGAUUGCUGACUUGAGGCCUUCACGGGCUUCUAGUCGGUGAAAAUCAAUUUAAUCGCAGCGGCUUGAACCGGGCAAAAGUCGUAACA
rnacentral:rRNA from 1 species